ensembl:lncRNA
CUCUCCGUUGCAAGGAGUGACACGGAACAGGUUCCUCCAGGAGCUGAGAAGCUGGAAGCAGAGGGGGAGUUGUUGCAGGCCUGCUUUGCUCCAGCAUCAGAUCAGAGCUCCACUGUGAACCAACCGGCCGAUCCACGCAGACCGUGGCCACGCGCAGCCCUCGCACCGCCGGCCCCUUUGCCCGCAUUGCCGCAGCUUGGUGCACCCCUUUGCCGCAACACUGCUUGGCCAAAGCACGGGAGGAGCCGCGAUCCACGCCUCGCUGAGACCCAUGCGCUUCUUGGAAGGGCACCCCAACCUUCCCCCAUCCUCCUCCGAGCAGCCUUGCUGAGAUAGCCCUGAGCUCGCCAUGAAGCUGCUGAAGGAGCCCGACUCGUAGAUGUUCCCGGCUGCAG